rnacentral:tRNA from 1 species
GCCUUCGUGGUGUAAUGGUCAGCACACUCGGCGUGUAUUCGAGUAGUCGGAGGUUCGAGUCCCGGCGAGGGCA